AGCAAGGAGGAGUCAAAUCUCCUUGACCCCAUGCUCACAGCACAGCUGGAGGAGACAGAGGUCUCGCCUUCACCGAGCUUAGCGUGGCCUGGGACUGCUGGAAGUUUUUCCCGCCUGGAACAUUCUUCCUGCAUCUAACUCCCCCUCCUGCAGAAAAUCUCCCCCAGCAAGCCAGCCCAGCUGCGUGCGCUGCUGCCCCCUAAACUUCCUGUGAUUGAGACUUCUGAACUGGAUGUCUUACUGCAUCUGACCUUUGGUAGCUCGAGAACUGUUCAUAGGCCCCUGGAAUCCGCACUGGGAAAGGCCUCCGUAGUCAACGCUCCAAGCCUCCAUUGGCUUUUUAGAUUCCCUGAAAGGCAUCCCAGCUCUGCUGAACACUGACACCAAAAGGGAAUCAGUCAAUCACUGCUCCUUUGAACGGAGUUUGUGGCUUGACACUUCUUCACUG
rnacentral:lncRNA from 1 species